AUGCUAAUAUGGCUAAAAUUCGCUAGCUGGCUAACCAACAACAUUAACAAUAAAGUCCUUUUUAAAUCAACUUCCAUUGUCCUCCAGCAGUGGCUGCUAUUCUCAUUUUAUUUGUGUCUCUGUUCAGAGUGGUUGGAAAGCGAGAGGCAGGUUGGAAAGCGAGAGGCAGGUUGGAAAGCGAGAGGCAGGCUGGAAAGCGAGAGGCAGGCUGGAAAGCGAGAGGCAGGCUGGAAAGCGAGAGGCAGGCUGGAAAGCGAAGCAGGUUGCAGGUUGGAAAGCGAGAGGCAGGCUGGAAAGCGAGAGGCAGGCUGGAAAGCGGGAGGCAGGCUGGAAAGCGCGAGGCAGGCUGGAAAGCGAGAGGCAGGCUGGAAAGCGAGAGGCAGGCUGGAAAGCGAAGCAGGUUGCAGGUUGGAAAGCGAGAGGCAGGCUGGAAAGCGAGAGGCAGGCUGGAAAGCGCGAGGCAGGCUGGAAAGCGCGAGGCAGGCUGGAAAGCGCGAGGCAGGCUGGAAAGCGAGGCGCAGGCUGGAAAGCGAGGCAGGCUGGAAAGCGAGAGGCAGGCUGGAAAGCGAAGAAGGUUGGAAAGCGAGAGGCAGGCUGGAAAGCGAGGCAGGCUGGAAAGCGAGGCAGGCUGGAAAGCGAGAGGCAGGCUGGAAAGCGAGAGGCAGGCUGGAAAGCGAGAGGCAGGCUGGAAAGCGAGAGGCAGGCUGGAAAGCGAGGCAGGUUGCAGGCUGGAAAGCGAGGCAGGUUGCAGGCUGGAAAGCGAGAGGCAGGCUGGAAAGCGAGGCAGGCUGGAAAGCGAGGCAGGCUGGAAAGCGAGGCAGGUUGGAAAGCGAGGCAGGCUGGAAAGCGAGGCAGGCUGGAAAGCGAGGCAGGCUGGAAAGCGAGAGGCAGGCUGGAAAGCGAGAGGCAGGCUGGAAAGCGAGGCAGGCUGGAAAGCGAGAGGCAGGCUGGAAAGCGAGUGGCAGGCUGGAAAGCGAGUGGCAGGCUGGAAAGCGAGGCAGGCUGGAAAGCGAGGCAGGCUGGAAAGCGAGUGGCAGGCUGGAGCGAGAGGCAGGCUGGAAAGCGAGAGGCAGGCUGGAAAGCGAGAGGCAGGCUGGAAAGCGAGAGGCAGGCUGGAAAGCGAGGCAGGUUGGAAAGCGAGGCAGGCUGGAAAGCGAGGCAGGCUGGAAAGCGAGGCAGGCUGGAAAGCGAGGCAGGCUGGAAAGCGAGAGGCAGGUUGGAAAGCGAGGCAGGCUGGAAAGCGAGGCAGGCUGGAAAGCGAGGCAGGCUGGAAAGCGAGGCAGGCUGGAAAGCGAGGCAGGCUGGAAAGCGAGAGGCAGGCUGGAAAGCGAGAGGCAGGCUGGAAAGCGAGGCAGGCUGGAAAGCGAAGCAGGCUGGAAAGCGAGAGGCAGGCUGGAAAGCGAGGCAGGCUGGAAAGCGAGGCAGGCUGGAAAGCGAGGCAGGCUGGAAAGCGAGGCAGGCUGA
rnacentral:lncRNA from 8 species